rnacentral:rRNA from 1 species
UACGUAGGGAGCAAGCGUUGUUCGGAUUUACUGGGCGUAAAGGACGCGUAGGCGGCAAAUUAAGUCAGCUGUGAAAUCUCCGAGCUUAACUCGGAACUGUCAGCUGAUACUGAUCUGCUAGAGUGCGGAAGGGGCAAUCGGAAUUCUUGGUGUAGCGGUGAAAUGCGUAGAUAUCAAGAGGAACACCUGAGGUGAAGACGGGUUGCUGGGCCGACACUGACGCUGAGUGCGCGAAAGCCAGGGGAGCAAACGGG